CCAAGGAGUUUCACGAAACCCAAGCCUACGAGGUUAAAUGCUGGCCUCUACAGGGUGAAUUGCAAGGACAUCUUAUUUAUAAAUAAGACAAUUUGCAGCUAAGCUUACGUCAGUGCCCUUCUAGUUGAUUAACUAGAAAGUGAUGUAAGAAAGUUCAACGACUAAUCGGUGAGUUGCACUAACAAUAACCCGGACACGAGCGCCCUGCUAUUUAUAAUUUUGUUAUAGAUAGAAGACAUAGUCUAAUCUAGUAGGUGACUACUAG
rnacentral:ncRNA from 1 species